AGAAUCAACGCUGGCGGCGUGCCUAACACAUGCAAGUCGCACGAGAAAGGGGAGCAAUCCCUGAGUAAAGUGGCGCACGGGUGAGUAACACGUGAAUAAUCUACCUCCGAGUGGGGAAUAACUGAGAGAAAUCUUAGCUAAUACCGCAUAACACUUACGAGUCAAAGCAGCAAUGCGCUUGGAGAGGAGUUCGCGGCCGAUUAGUUAGUUGGCGGGGUAAUGGCCCACCAAGACGAUGAUCGGUAUCCGGCCUGAGAGGGCGCACGGACACACUGGAACUGAAACACGGUCCAGACUCCUACGGGAGGCAGCAGUGGGGAAUUUUGCGCAAUGGGGGAAACCCUGACGCAGCAACGCCGCGUGGAGGAUGAAGCCCCUUGGGGUGUAAACUCCUUUCGAUCGGGAAGAUAAUGACGGUACCGAUAUAAGAAGCCCCGGCUAACUUCGUGCCAGCAGCCGC
rnacentral:rRNA from 1 species